rnacentral:rRNA from 1 species
ACACAUGCAGUCGAACGAUGAUGGGAGCUUGCUCCUGGAUUAGUGGCGAACGGGUGAGUAACACGUGAGUAACCUGCCCUUAACUCUGGGAUAAGCCUGGGAAACUGGGUCUAAUACCGGAUAUGACUCCUCAUCGCAUGGUGGGGGGUGGAAAGCUUUUUGUGGUUUUGGAUGGACUCGCGGCCUAUCAGCUUGUUGGUGAGGUAAUGGCUUACCAAGGCGACGACGGGUAGCCGGCCUGAGAGGGUGACCGGCCACACUGGGACUGAGACACGGCCCAGACUCCUACGGGAGGCAGCAGUGGGGAAUAUUGCACAAUGGGCGCAAGCCUGAUGCAGCGACGCCGCGUGAGGGAUGACGGCCUUCGGGUUGUAAACCUCUUUCAGUAGGGAAGAAGCGAAAGUGACGGUACCUGCAGAAGAAGCGCCGGCUAACUACGUGCCAGCAGCCGCGGUAAUACGUAGGGCGCAAGCGUUAUCCGGAAUUAUUGGGCGUAAAGAGCUCGUAGGCGGUUUGUCGCGUCUGCCGUGAAAGUCCGG